rnacentral:rRNA from 1 species
CCUACGGGAGGCAGCAGUAAGGAAUAUUGGUCAAUGGGCGCAAGCCUGAACCAGCCAUCCUGCGUGCAGGAAGAAGGCCCUAUGGGUUGUAAACUGCUUUUGUCAGGGAAUAAACCUGUGGAUUUAUCCGCAGCUGAAGGUACCUGAAGAAUAAGCACCGGCUAACUCCGUGCCAGCAGCCGCGGUAAU